AGCGUACACGGUGGAUGCCCUGGCAGUCAGAGGCGAUGAAGGACGUGCUAAUCUGCGAUAAGCGUCGGUAAGGUGAUAUGAACCGUUAUAACCGGCGAUUUCCGAAUGGGGAAACCCAGUGUGUUUCGACACACUAUCAUUAACUGAAUCCAUAGGUUAAUGAGGCGAACCGGGGGAACUGAAACAUCUAAGUACCCCGAGGAAAAGAAAUCAACCGAGAUUCCCCCAGUAGCGGCGAGCGAACGGGGAGCAGCCCAGAGCCUGAAUCAGUGUGUGUGUUAGUGGAAGCGUCUGGAAAGGCGCGCGAUACAGGGUGACAGCCCCGUACACAAAAAUGCACAUGCUGUGAGCUCGAUGAGUAGGGCGGGACACGUGGUAUCCUGUCUGAAUAUGGGGGGACCAUCCUCCAAGGCUAAAUACUCCUGACUGACCGAUAGUGAACCAGUACCGUGAGGGAAAGGCGAAAAGAACCCCGGCGAGGGGAGUGAAAAAGAACCUGAAACCGUGUACGUACAAGCAGUGGGAGCACGCUUAGGCGUGUGACUGCGUACCUUUUGUAUAAUGGGUCAGCGACUUAUAUUCUGUAGCAAGGUUAACCGAAUAGGGGAGCCGAAGGGAAACCGAGUCUUAACUGGGCGUUAAGUUGCAGGGUAUAGACCCGAAACCCGGUGAUCUAGCCAUGGGCAGGUUGAAGGUUGGGUAACACUAACUGGAGGACCGAACCGACUAAUGUUGAAAAAUUAGCGGAUGACUUGUGGCUGGGGGUGAAAGGCCAAUCAAACCGGGAGAUAGCUGGUUCUCCCCGAAAGCUAUUUAGGUAGCGCCUCGUGAAUUCAUCUCCGGGGGUAGAGCACUGUUUCGGCAAGGGGGUCAUCCCGACUUACCAACCCGAUGCAAACUGCGAAUACCGGAGAAUGUUAUCACGGGAGACACACGGCGGGUGCUAACGUCCGUCGUGAAGAGGGAAACAACCCAGACCGCCAGCUAAGGUCCCAAAGUCAUGGUUAAGUGGGAAACGAUGUGGGAAGGCCCAGACAGCCAGGAUGUUGGCUUAGAAGCAGCCAUCAUUUAAAGAAAGCGUAAUAGCUCACUGGUCGAGUCGGCCUGCGCGGAAGAUGUAACGGGGCUAAACCAUGCACCGAAGCUGCGGCAGCGACGCUUAUGCGUUGUUGGGUAGGGGAGCGUUCUGUAAGCCUGCGAAGGUGUGCUGUGAGGCAUGCUGGAGGUAUCAGAAGUGCGAAUGCUGACAUAAGUAACGAUAAAGCGGGUGAAAAGCCCGCUCGCCGGAAGACCAAGGGUUCCUGUCCAACGUUAAUCGGGGCAGGGUGAGUCGACCCCUAAGGCGAGGCCGAAAGGCGUAGUCGAUGGGAAACAGGUUAAUAUUCCUGUACUUGGUGUUACUGCGAAGGGGGGACGGAGAAGGCUAUGUUGGCCGGGCGACGGUUGUCCCGGUUUAAGCGUGUAGGCUGGUUUUCCAGGCAAAUCCGGAAAAUCAAGGCUGAGGCGUGAUGACGAGGCACUACGGUGCUGAAGCAACAAAUGCCCUGCUUCCAGGAAAAGCCUCUAAGCAUCAGGUAACAUCAAAUCGUACCCCAAACCGACACAGGUGGUCAGGUAGAGAAUACCAAGGCGCUUGAGAGAACUCGGGUGAAGGAACUAGGCAAAAUGGUGCCGUAACUUCGGGAGAAGGCACGCUGAUAUGUAGGUGAAGCGACUUGCUCGUGGAGCUGAAAUCAGUCGAAGAUACCAGCUGGCUGCAACUGUUUAUUAAAAACACAGCACUGUGCAAACACGAAAGUGGACGUAUACGGUGUGACGCCUGCCCGGUGCCGGAAGGUUAAUUGAUGGGGUUAGCGCAAGCGAAGCUCUUGAUCGAAGCCCCGGUAAACGGCGGCCGUAACUAUAACGGUCCUAAGGUAGCGAAAUUCCUUGUCGGGUAAGUUCCGACCUGCACGAAUGGCGUAAUGAUGGCCAGGCUGUCUCCACCCGAGACUCAGUGAAAUUGAACUCGCUGUGAAGAUGCAGUGUACCCGCGGCAAGACGGAAAGACCCCGUGAACCUUUACUAUAGCUUGACACUGAACAUUGAGCCUUGAUGUGUAGGAUAGGUGGGAGGCUUUGAAGUGUGGACGCCAGUCUGCAUGGAGCCGACCUUGAAAUACCACCCUUUAAUGUUUGAUGUUCUAACGUUGACCCGUAAUCCGGGUUGCGGACAGUGUCUGGUGGGUAGUUUGACUGGGGCGGUCUCCUCCUAAAGAGUAACGGAGGAGCACGAAGGUUGGCUAAUCCUGGUCGGACAUCAGGAGGUUAGUGCAAUGGCAUAAGCCAGCUUGACUGCGAGCGUGACGGCGCGAGCAGGUGCGAAAGCAGGUCAUAGUGAUCCGGUGGUUCUGAAUGGAAGGGCCAUCGCUCAACGGAUAAAAGGUACUCCGGGGAUAACAGGCUGAUACCGCCCAAGAGUUCAUAUCGACGGCGGUGUUUGGCACCUCGAUGUCGGCUCAUCACAUCCUGGGGCUGAAGUAGGUCCCAAGGGUAUGG
rnacentral:rRNA from 1 species